rnacentral:lncRNA from 1 species
GAGAAGUUCUCACCCUUGAGGGUGGACAGAGGUUGAAAGGAUUGUAGACAAGAGGAAGAACAAGAAAGGAAAAUGGGAGUAUCUUAUCCGAUGGAAAGGCUACGGGAGCACCGAGGACACGUGGGAGCCGGAGCACCACCUCUUGCACUGUGAGGAGUUUAUUGAUGAAUUCAAUGGGUUGCACAUGUCCAAGGACAAGAGGAUCAAGUCAGGGAAGCAGUCCAGUACCUCCAAGCUGCUGCGUGACAGUCGAGGCCCGUCGGUUGAGAAACUGUCCCACAGACCUUCAGAUCCUGGAAAGAGCAAGGGGACCUCCCAUAAACGGAAGCGAAUUAACCCUCCCCUGGCCAAGCCAAAAAAAGGGUAUUCAGGCAAGCCCUCUUCAGGAGGUGACAGGGCCACCAAGACGGUGUCUUACAGGACUACCCCCAGUGGUUUGCAAAUAAUGCCCCUGAAAAAGUCUCAGAACGGGAUGGAAAAUGGGGACGCCGGCUCUGAGAAGGAUGAGAGGCACUUUGGAAAUGGGUCCCAUCAGCCUGGCUUGGAUUUGAAUGAUC